CGUGAUUGUGCCAAGCAGCCAGCCAGUGUGUGUGUGUGUCACUAAAUAGAGGCUGGUGGAAAUCGCAGCUGUCUGCCUUGUAAAGUGGCGAUUAAGAUUUACGUUGAAUUGCAAGAGAUUCGUCAGCACCCACCAAAACAAUGGGCCUUUAUUCGUAAGAAGGAAAAACCGGCCGUGCUGAUUAACCUGAAGGACCAUUGUCUUAUGUUGAACGGAGACGACUGCCGGGCAAUUUGCCGCGAAAUGAGGCUUGUUUCGCAACAGUGGAAAUCAUCUCAAGCUCCAUUGUGCAUCGAGGACUUUUGGAAAAUGGUCGAAGACGUCGUUACCAAGCAAGUCGAAUUCAGAAAAGUCUUUUCUGCCAUUCAGUAUGCAACAAACAGAAACAGGGGAAAACUGCUCAAGAAGCUAAAAUAAAAAUUCACCAUAGGACAAAGAAUGCUAUUCUAAUUAGAAUUCUUAAGAAUUCAACACCCGCCGCGGCGGUCGGAAUAAAAAGUGAACCGGCUGAUUAAAAUUAAUCGGUAAUUAUUAUUGUAAUCUGAUAAUGAGAAAUGCGGAUGUCGAGCACAGACUGAAUGAAUAUUCCUCCUAGGGAUGUGCAAAAAUAUUCGAUUUAGCAAAGAAAUAAUCGAUUAUUAUAUAGCCGGAAAUUUAGAGGCAAAAAAUUGGUUUUAUAAUCGGUGUCUAUAGGCAAAUAAUCUAUCAAAUAAUCGGUUUCAUACAUGUUCCUAAAGGCAAAAAUCUAUAUUUUUUGUUUUUAAAAAAUGGAAAAAACGCUAUUAUUGAAGAACACUCGGUAUACUUAAAUAAACUGAAACGGGGUGCAAUGCAUCCCGAUUCAGAAUUGUUCAAAUUUUCUCAAAAAUUUACAGCACGUGACCACAUUUUCUUGGCAGUUUGCGAUUCGCCUCGUCGAGAUCUUUUCAACAGCGUUGGUGUGAAAUAAAUUAGCAUUUCAAUUCAAGUAAAGAUACAGUGCCAACUUUGAAGCCACUUUUCUCAAAAAAUGUACAACAUUACUUUAGGUCAAAUUUGGCUUAAACUGAAUCCUAAGGGACGAGUUCUUACAUUGGCAACAACCAUUUUCUAUGAUCAUUUUACAGCGUCAAUCCACUGUAAUAAAGUCUUAAUGAAAUAAUAACAAUUUUCCAAAAGAAUUCUAGACAUUAAUAUCUACCCCGUUUUGUACUUGUAAAAUGAUUUCCUUGGAGGUUUAAGGAUAUUAUACUUUCACCGUUUUUCACUUCUCGGGAAAAAUUGAUUUAUGAACAUCGAGAUAAAAGAAAAUUAGAGCUGUACUUACGGGCCAAAUCACGCUGCAUGUAUGCUUCAUAAACGCGUUUUUCUCUUAAUUUUUCACAAAACUCACAAAUUCAAAUCAGAUGUUUCGUCGAUGAACAGUAGAUCACGACUGUGACUUUUUUAGACAGUGCCAUCAUCUUGUACCUCCCCUAACGUUUUAAGGGGAGUUCUGACAGGAUUAGCCACAGGAGAUUGUAAUAAAUAAGAGCUGUCUCAUUUCUCAAAGCU